GACAGAGGGUGCAAACGUUGUUCGGAAUUACUGGGCGUAAAGCGCGUGUAGGCUGCUCGGAAAGUCGGAUGUGAAAGCCCGGAGCUCAACUCCGGAACUGCCAUUGAAACUGUUAGACUUGAGGAUGAGAGAGGUGAGUGGAAUUCCCAGUGUAGAGGUGAAAUUCGUAGAUAUUGGGAAGAACUCCGAUUGCGUAGGCAGCUAACUAGGCUGUAACUGACGCUGAGGCACGAAAGCGUGGGGAGCGAACAGG
rnacentral:rRNA from 1 species